rnacentral:rRNA from 1 species
AGUAAAAGUCGUAACAAGGUCUCCGUAGGUGAACCUGCGGAGGGAUCAUUACAAGUGACCCCGGUCUAACCACCGGGAUGUUCAUAACCCUUUGUUGUCCGACUCUGUUGCCUCCGGGGCGACCCUGCCUUCGGGCGGGGGCUCCGGGUGGACACUUCAAACUCUUGCGUAACUUUGCAGUCUGAGUAAAUUUAAUUAAUAAAUUAAAACUUUUAACAACGGAUCUCUUGGUUCUGGCAUCGAUGAAGAACGCAGCGAAAUGCGAUAAGUAAUGUGAAUUGCAGAAUUCAGUGAAUCAUCGAAUCUUUGAACGCACAUUGCGCCCUUUGGCAUUCCGAAGGGCAUGCCCGUCCGAGCGUCAUUUCACCACUCGAGCCCCGCUCGGUGUUGGGCGUCGCGUCUACCGCGCGCCUCAAAGUCCCCGGCCGUGUGGUCCGUCCCCGAGCGUUGUGGCACAACUGUUUCGCUUUGGGUGACGCGCCGCGACGGCCGUUAAGCCUUCUCACCAGGUUGACCUCGGAUCGGGUAGGGAUACCCGCUGAACUUAAGCAUAUCAAUAAGCGGAGGA